CUUCACCACUCGAAGACCCUCCUCUGCCAUCACCCGGGGAUACCUAUGGAGGAGCACCGGGACAGGCGGUCAGGACCCAGUCCUCUUCACUCCUCAUCCCCGAACCUCCCCCUCUCCCUGCACUGAUGGCAGUACAAACAUGCUUUGCUGGGAGAUCCCUGAUGUGCCAGGCAUGAACCAACUAGCUGCCAGAUCAUGAGAAGGUCCAGGGUCCCAGGGAAGCCAGGAGGGGUUGGGGUGGUGGGAGGGCCCCUCAGAGGACAUGGGGCAGUGGCUUAUGCUUGUACUUUGGUACUAAUUUCAGCAUUUGAACACUCAGCAGCAUCUCUACAGGGGAUGAGGUGGGGGAAGGGUAUCAGAGGCUAGACACUGGCCGGCCCUCACCUGCACAGCUGCUCUGCAUUGUUUAGAUUGAGAUGCUGCCUCACAGUCCUGGUCACCAGGCCCCCUAAUGUGAGAUAAAUGUGAAAGGACAGCAGAGACAAAGCCCCCUGCCCAACACAAAGGUCCCCAUUGUCCACGGAGAUAGAAAACGGAGUUUCCCAGACAGGGGAGUCCCCCUACUUCUCAACAAUGCAGUGGCCUACUCCCCACCCACACAGAGGGGAACCAUCUCCAGUGAGAACGUCUUCCAGGUCCAGCCCACCUCUUCCCUCAAAGGCAGGCCUGGGAGCUGCACUCACUCCAGCUGUCUGGCAUGACUUUCAAGGCCAAGGGCACCAGGUCAUCAAAGGAGGCAUCCAGGAUCACGGCACUAAUGUCCGGGUAAGACAUGGCUGCCCACGUAGCUGGUACCAGGAAAGGAAAGAAAAGGACUUAAUGAACCAAUAUAUGUACCAAUUUUUCAAUGUCUUUUGUUUGGUUUUUGGCUGUGCCAUGUGGCUUGUGGGAUCUUCCUUCCCCGACCAGAGACUGAACCCAUGUCCUCAGCAGAGAAAGUGUGGCGUCCUAACCACUGGACUGGCAGAGAACUCUCUUCUCUAACUAUUUUUACUGCAACCUUUUUUUUUUUUUUUUUACUGCAACCUUUUAAAGAUACUUUAUAUCGUGGUCUAGGACACACAUAUGUACAUAUUCAUCUUGAAAGUUUUAUGAGAUAAUACUUUGUAUAUACGACAAGUAAAAGCAAAGUAAUUAACAAUUAUGAUUCUGUUAAUGUAUUUAUUAAAA